UUUGUAAAGCUUCUCAAGUACUUGCAAGUACAAUAUAAUGUGGCUGAAUUCACUAGAAAAUGUUAAACUUGAAUGUAGUAUUUUUCUUUAACUUGUUUCUGGAAAUUAACAAGUGAUCCUACCUGGAUCAUUAGCAAAUGUGAGGUCAGAUACGCCGUAGUGGACCCUCUCUAGCCAAUGGAUAUUGAGAGGCUAGCUACAUUAUAAAUUUGAUACUGUCUUAUGCCACCCUGGGAUCUGCUUGGAGAUUAGGCGAGAUAUCUAGGUCAACAUCCGGGCACGGUUCCAAUGCCCUAGCUCUCAUUGGCCAGCGAGCGUAGGCAUGCGUACUGUGUUGGCGGUCAGGACAAAACCGUUAGGGUCGACAAAGAGAGGAGAUUGUACUGAAAACAGGCGUUUAAAUCGCUAAUUCUGCGCGGUAAUGGCACCAACGGAGUCUACCAUGAUCGAAAAUCAAUUUUGGAGAGGCUGGGGAGUCGAGGGGAGAUGUGAUCUCGGUUCAAACGCUCGCAAAUUUCGAAUAGUGACGUUAGCAACUUUCGUCGCCCCCCUCCCCCUUGUCCACCGGCUGGGCUCGCAGCAAAACAACAAAGCAUUAUGAACAGCCUUUGCCUCCGGAUGUACUACUACGGUAGAUGCAGCAAAAGUUGUAAGGACAGUCUAGAUGAAAGGCACGCAACUGCCAGAAGUUCUGAGUCUUCGAGUACCUGACUGCUGCUACAGACUCCUUAGGAACUGACUCCGAAGAAGGACUCCAAAUCAACACCAAGACAUCCAACAUGCAAACACAGAACAGACAGCCUUACCCAGGGUGCAUGGCAGCAGUGGAGUCAGAUGUGGAUAGGAUUGUUUAUACAUGAGCAGUUCUACAACAUAGUAUUUCCCAAAAGUUAACAUUGUGGUGUGCCAUGUGCCGCAGGUGGUCAGUAUUGAUAGAGACCAUAGGUUACUGUAUUUUAUAAACCUUAUUUUGACAAACAUUUAGAUUUGUUUUUGUGUCUGAUGGUUGUCAGACGAUUAGACACAAGCUAUUAAGGUCUUAUUACUAUAUUAGCCUUACCAGAAUAUGUACUGUAAAUGUAUUCCAGUUCCAAUCUCCAGUGAUUUAAUAUGAUGACAAUGAUA